rnacentral:rRNA from 1 species
GGAAUUUUGGACAAUGGGCGAAAGCCUGAUCCAGCCAUUCCGCGUGAGUGAAGAAGGCCUUCGGGUUGUAAAGCUCUUUCGCAAGGGAAGAAAACUUAUAUUCUAAUAAAGUAUGAGGAUGACGGUACCUUGAUAAGAAGCACCGGCUAACUACGUGCCAGCAGCCGCGGUAAUACGUAGGGUGCGAGCGUUAAUCGGAAUUACUGGGCGUAAAGCGUGCGCAGGCGGUUUUGAAAGUCAGAUGUGAAAUCCCCGAGCUCAACUUGGGAACUGCGUUUGAAACUCCAAAGCUAGAGUAUAGGAGAGGGGGGUAGAAUUCCACGUGUAGCAGUGAAAUGCGUAGAGAUGUGGAGGAAUACCAAUGGCGAAGGCAGCCCCCUGGCCUAAUACUGACGCUCAUGCACGAAAGCGUGGGGAGCAAACA